UAAAAUUAAAGGUAAUCAAUCGUUAUAUAUAAAAACACAUCCAACAUUACAUCAUACUAACAUCAGAUUGCAUCAUAAAAUUAAUUUAAUUUUCCAAAUUGUCACUUACAAUUUGAAAAAUCAGUGAGUUAACUCUUUCAAAUUUGGCGAGUUAACUCAGUUAAAUUAAGGCCACUAACGAUUGAUUUUCCACCCUCCACUGGCUUUUCUCAUUCUUCUCGUAACUGUAUACAUUGUUUCGGCAAUACCAACAUUAAAAAAGAAAAUAGAUGGAGUAAAAUGAAUUAAAGAAAAUAUAUAAAGGUGUAGAUACAGAUUUCAGCUGUUAACUGGGCUGUCUUUUCGAAUCAUUUCUAUUGUGUUUUGGUUUUCAGUCUUCCAAACACCAACCUGCAUAAUACUUUUUCAAAUCAUUUCCUUCGUUUUCCUUUUAGUCUUCCAAACAGCAACAUCCAUAUACAGCUCCUUGAUUAAUUUGGUGCGUCAACUCUCUUCCCAAUGACGCUUUCUCAGUUACUCUUCAUCUCUUUAUCUGUCUCCAUCUGAGUCACUGUGUUACUUCACACGGAAUUCAAUCGCCUUCUCUUCAUCAUCUUCCAUGUUCCUUUUCGAGAAAAUCUGAAGUCAAGAAGCAAAGGUAUUGUGGCACGUUAAAAUUGCAACCAAAAUAAAUCAGUUUCUCAGAGAAGAUAAGAGAAAUCAAGAGAAAGAAGGCAGUUCAUCAGAAAAUUUAUCGCCACUGCAAUGUAUCGGCCUAUUUAAGCCCUCAAUUUCGGCCUUAUAAGCAAGUCAAGUACGCCUUAUCAAAGUUUAUGGUUUCAUCUCAUCAAUUACCUCCUCUUUCCCCGUGGAUGAGAACCCUUAUCUUCCCCUCAAAAUCUUAGAUUCUGUGACGCCCCAAAAUAAGACCACACGACCCAUUCUGAGUCGCCAUAUAUCACACUAUAAAAAUUAAUACAAACUUCAUUUAUACAACUAUUGAAC
rnacentral:lncRNA from 1 species